rnacentral:lncRNA from 1 species
GCCUGAAUUAAUUGGCUUAAUUUAAAAUUCGAACAGGUGGCUUCAGUUGGUGCCUGUAGCAGGCAGGGGGCUUUCAGUGGUCACCAGCUGGUGACCUGUCAGGACAGUGUGUCCUUAUGUCCUUUCCCAGUGCAUGUUGUCCCCACUCAGCCUUGGUGCCAUGAGGCUCAAGGCCGGCUCUCCUUGGGAAACCUGCUGCCUCAGUAGUGACCACGUGGCUGUUCCAGUUCACUGUCAAAGCGGCUGAAGCAACCUGGUGGAGCUGUGGGCCUGCUGUGAUCACUGACUCAGCUUUCAUUUGGAGGAAGGAGAAGUUUCACAGCUAUGAGGAAACAGUUACAGAGACAAAGCUUGCUGAAAUGAAAACGAACUAAUUACCAUGGAACAUGGUUUUUCUACAAGUCAUUUGGGUGCGAGAGUUAACCAGCUCUUGGCUUUGGGGCCUCUGGUUCUUGCGGCUUUCUGACAGUGUUUUGUGGAGUGAGUGGAUAACCCGUCCUGAAGCCACUUCAGAUGAGGUGGAAGUCACUCAAAAUCAAGGCUAAUGCACCCUGGCAGUGUUCAUCUUUCCUGCAGCCAGGCAGCCCACCCUGAGAUGGACCAACACUGAGCCCAUGGAGCACCUCUGCAGGGGUACCCUGCCCUCCCUCCUUGGAAAGACAGAGCUGCUCAGUAUCCAGAGCUGUCAGUCUGGCAUUCUCCAUGCACACAGACACACAGUGCAACGCAACCUUGAAAGCAGUAGGAAAUUAUUUUAAUUUCCUAGAGCACCCCCACUGCAUGUGCACACAUGCACAGAGUUUUUGUAUUUUCUUGCUGCCCUAGGCCCCCAUAUGUGUUUACUGUCUGCCUUGCUGACACCCUCUCGAGUGAGUCAGCAGUCUGGGAGGGAAGGACAUUAUAGCCAUUUUUCUUGCUCCUGUUCAGAAAAGAAGCCUGCUUCUGUGACACUGUGAAUAAAGCUGAUUUCCCCCCCCCGCCCUUCCUGAAA